AGAGUUUGAUCAUGGCUCAGAUUGAACGCUGGCGGCAGGCCUAACACAUGCAAGUCGAGCGGUAACACAGAGAGCUUGCUCUCGGGUGACGAGCGGCGGACGGGUGAGUAAUGUCUGGGAAACUGCCUGAUGGAGGGGGAUAACUACUGGAAACGGUAGCUAAUACCGCAUAACGUCGCAAGACCAAAGUGGGGGACCUUCGGGCCUCAUGCCAUCAGAUGUGCCCAGAUGGGAUUAGCUAGUAGGUGGGGUAAUGGCUCACCUAGGCGACGAUCCCUAGCUGGUCUGAGAGGAUGACCAGCCACACUGGAACUGAGACACGGUCCAGACUCCUACGGGAGGCAGCAGUGGGGAAUAUUGCACAAUGGGCGCAAGCCUGAUGCAGCCAUGCCGCGUGUAUGAAGAAGGCCUUCGGGUUGUAAAGUACUUUCAGCGAGGAGGAAGGCAUUAAGGUUAAUAACCUUAGCGAUUGACGUUACUCGCAGAAGAAGCACCGGCUAACUCCGUGCCAGCAGCCGCGGUAAUACGGAGGGUGCAAGCGUUAAUCGGAAUUACUGGGCGUAAAGCGCACGCAGGCGGUCUGUCAAGUCGGAUGUGAAAUCCCCGGGCUCAACCUGGGAACUGCAUUCGAAACUGGCAGGCUAGAGUCUUGUAGAGGGGGGUAGAAUUCCAGGUGUAGCGGUGAAAUGCGUAGAGAUCUGGAGGAAUACCGGUGGCGAAGGCGGCCCCCUGGACAAAGACUGACGCUCAGGUGCGAAAGCGUGGGGAGCAAACAGGAUUAGAUACCCUGGUAGUCCACGCCGUAAACGAUGUCGACUUGGAGGUUGUGCCCUUGAGGCGUGGCUUCCGGAGCUAACGCGUUAAGUCGACCGCCUGGGGAGUACGGCCGCAAGGUUAAAACUCAAAUGAAUUGACGGGGGCCCGCACAAGCGGUGGAGCAUGUGGUUUAAUUCGAUGCAACGCGAAGAACCUUACCUACUCUUGACAUCCAGAGAACUUAGCAGAGAUGCUUUGGUGCCUUCGGGAACUCUGAGACAGGUGCUGCAUGGCUGUCGUCAGCUCGUGUUGUGAAAUGUUGGGUUAAGUCCCGCAACGAGCGCAACCCUUAUCCUUUGUUGCCAGCGGUUAGGCCGGGAACUCAAAGGAGACUGCCAGUGAUAAACUGGAGGAAGGUGGGGAUGACGUCAAGUCAUCAUGGCCCUUACGAGUAGGGCUACACACGUGCUACAAUGGCAUAUACAAAGAGAAGCGACCUCGCGAGAGCAAGCGGACCUCAUAAAGUAUGUCGUAGUCCGGAUUGGAGUCUGCAACUCGACUCCAUGAAGUCGGAAUCGCUAGUAAUCGUAGAUCAGAAUGCUACGGUGAAUACGUUCCCGGGCCUUGUACACACCGCCCGUCACACCAUGGGAGUGGGUUGCAAAAGAAGUAGGUAGCUUAACCUUCGGGAGGGCGCUUACCACUUUGUGAUUCAUGACUGGGGUGAAGUCGUAACAAGGUAACCGUAGGGGAACCUGCGGUUGGAUCACCU
rnacentral:rRNA from 1 species